GAUGAAUGCGUAAAUAAUCUUGACAACUGUGCUGUGGGUAUUGCAACGUGUACUAAUACUCAAGGAUCAUAUAUCUGUGCUUGUAACACUGGAUACGCAGGAGAUGGACGUCAGUGUGUUGGUAGGUCAUUUCCUUCAAUACUUCUUAAACGUUUUUAUUCUUAUACAGUAUUUUGUUUUCUCUAUAGAGUUCUGCUUAAAAUUGGAAUUUAUUUACCUUCAGGCUUUUUAUGUCGCCAACAUCCUGAUAUAGCAGCUUGUAAAAAUCUACCUAUCAGGCUAACAUCCAUUACGCGUUUUUAGCCAUGCUAAUUUACCUCAGCUUAAGGUGGCUCAAUACAGUUUUUAAAAAAUGGAAAAUUCACGAAUUAGAUGCGUAUUUUUGGACAAUUAUUACUUGUCGAUAAACAAAAAGUGCCUUAUUUACAUAAAACAACAUCUAAGGAGUUUGAAUUUUUGUACAAAAGUUACGCAACUGCCGUUGCUAUGGCAACAAUAACGUUUCAAAAUGGCGGAUAUUUUGGCUUUAAAGUAAUUUAUAUAACUCGUAAACAACUCGGUGACCCCCAAUUUUAUUUUAAAAAUUAUUUAUCUUAGUAUAAUAAAUUAUUUAACAAUUUAAAGAAAAUUCUGUGGAGCCAAAAAAAUUAUUAUGAUUAAUCAGCUUUACGUAAUUUAAAAAAUUUCGUCUCCACAGAAUUUUUUUUAAAUUGUCAAAAUAAUUUAUUGUAUUAAGAGAAAUCACUUUUUGAAAUAAAAUUUGGGGGUCAUUGAUGUCGUUUACGAGUUAAAUUACUUUAAAGCCAAAAUAUCCGCCAUCUUGAAAUGUCAUUGUUGCCAUAGCAACGGCUGUUGCGUAACUUUUGUACAAAAAUUCAAACUCUUUAGAUGUUGUUUUAUAUAAGUAAGGUACAUUUUGUUUAUCAACAAGUAAUAAUUGCCAAAAAUACGCAUCUAAAUCGUGAAUUUUCCAUUUUUUGAAAACCUGUAUUGAGCCACCUUAAUGUGACUGGUCUGCAAUAUGGCAGUGGCAUGAUUUCAUUCUGUGUUUGUAUAAAACAAAUUUUAGAUGUCCAUUUGGAUUGUGCAUGAACAAAAAAGAUGCAAAGAUCCUACAUAAUUUCUCACAAUCCCUUUAUAUCUCACUGGGAUACCCUGUGGUUAACAUAUAUUGCUGUUCUUGCAUAGAUAUCAAUGAAUGUACAGCUGGAACUCACAAUUGUCACCCCACGUUGGCAACCUGUACUAACACACCUGGAUCUUUCACGUGUCAAUGUAUAGCAGGUUUCAAUGGAGACGGGGUUACCUGUAACGGUA